AUUGAACGCUGGCGGCAUGCCUUACACAUGCAAGUCGAACGGCAGCACGGGGCAACCUGGUGGCGAGUGGCGAACGGGUGAGUAAAGCAUCGGAACGUACCUUUCAGUGGGGGAUAACGUAGCGAAAGUUACGCUAAUACCGCAUAUUCUGUGAGCAGGAAAGCAGGGGAUCGCAAGACCUUGCGCUGAUUGAGCGGCCGAUGUCGGAUUAGCUAGUUGGUGAGGUAAAGGCUCACCAAGGCGACGAUCUGUAGCGGGUCUGAGAGGAUGAUCCGCCACACUGGAACUGAGACACGGUCCAGACUCCUACGGGAGGCAGCAGUGGGGAAUUUUGGACAAUGGGGGCAACCCUGAUCCAGCCAUGCCGCGUGAGUGAAGAAGGCCUUCGGGUUGUAAAGCUCUUUCGGCCGGGAAGAAAUCGCACGGGCUAAUACCCUGUGUGGAUGACGGUACCGGAAUAAGAAGCACCGGCUAACUACGUGCCAGCCGCCGCCGUAAAAC
rnacentral:rRNA from 1 species